rnacentral:rRNA from 1 species
GACGAACGCUGGCGGCGUGCCUAAUACAUGCAAGUAGAACGCUGAAGAGAGGAGCUUGCUCUUCUUGGAUGAGUUGCGAACGGGUGAGUAACGCGUAGGUAACCUGCCUUGUAGCGGGGGAUAACUAUUGGAAACGAUAGCUAAUACCGCAUAACAAUGGAUGACACAUGUCAUUUAUUUGAAAGGGGCAAUUGCUCCACUACAAAAUGGACCUGCGUUGUAUUAGCUAGUAGGUGAGGUAACGGCUCACCUAGGCGACGAUAGAUAGCCGACCUGAGAGGGGGAUCUGCCACGCUGGGACGGGGACACGGCCCAGACUCCUGCGGGAGGCAGCAGGAGGGGAUCUUCGGCAAUGGGGGCAACCCUGACCGAGCAACGCCGCGUGAGUGAAGAAGGUUGUCGGAUCGUAAAGCUCUGUUGUAAGUCAAGGACGAGUGUGAGAGUGGAAAGUUCACACUGUGACGGUAGCGUAACAGAAAGGGACGGCUAACUACGUG